UUUUAGCCCUGAUCAAAACGGCAUCCUUUUAUGGAACUUCAGUGGAAUAAAAGAUAGAGUGGAGAGCAGGUUCCCGG
rnacentral:sRNA from 1 species